rnacentral:lncRNA from 1 species
CGCGCUGCAGCAGCUGCUGGAUGAGCAUGACGCGGUGAGCGCCGCCUUCCAGGCGGGCGUCCUGUCGCCCACCAUCUCCCCCAACUACUCCAACGACAUGAACUCCAUGGCCGGCUCGCCGGUCUCAUCCUACUCGUCGGACGAGGGCUCUUACGACCCGCUCAGCCCAGAGGAACAAGAACUGCUCGACUUCCCCAACUGGUUCUGAGGGGCUCGGCCUGGUCAGGCCCUGGUGCGAAUGGACUUUGGAAGCGGGGCCAUCGCACAACCUGCAUCUUUAGUGCUUUCUCGUCAGCGAUGUUGGGAGAAAAGCAGGAAAAAGAAGAGAAGAAAGCAAACAAAUUCCAGGCAACCAACCUCUAUGCCAACUAAGCGUCACAUGCGAAGCAAGGCUCUGGCAAAACAAGGAUGCGCUCAGAACAGUAUCUCUGCACUCCAACCAUUCACGGAGAUAGAAAGAGUGACUAGGGCCUGAGUCAAUGCACAAAACGCCACUUGUGUGCAAAACUAGUGGGCUCCUGGCAGAAAGGAGCAGCACACGCCCUCUAGAAACUCCCACCCACCACUAACAGGCAGAGCUGACCUUCCUGCCCUCCCUGAAAGCGCAGUUCAUAGCCCUCUAGAAAUGGGUUGGUGUCUUUCGUCUCUGUUUGCCCCCACCCUGAUAAGCUUUGGACACUUUUCUUCAGUGAAAUUGUGCUAUACUCAGUCCUUUAAAGCCCCAAUUUGUGGGGGGGAUCCCCAAGCUCCACUCCCUCACACCACCUUUUCUACCAUUUUCAUCAUAGAAUGCUUCCAAUCUUUUGUGAAUUUUUUUUAUUAUAAGAAGAAUCUAUUUGUAUCUAUCCUAACCAGUUUGGGGAUAUAUUAAGAUAUUUUUGUACAUAAGAGAGAGAGAAAAAUUUAUAGAGUUUUGUACAAAUGGUUUAAAAUGUGUAUAUCUUGAUACUUUAACAUGUAAUGCUAUUACCUCUGCAUAUUUUAGAUGUGUAGUUCACCUGACAACUGCCAUGUUCCCUAUGUGGUUUUGUAAAGACCUGUCCUCAUAGGUGAGAUCAAAAGGCCACCAGACGUACUUCAGCACCAAUGUGUCUUACUUUAUAGAAACUUUGUUAAUGUAUUAAUGAUGUUAUUAAAUACUGUUCAAGAAGAACAAAGUUUAUGCAGCUACUGUCCAAACGCAAAGUGGCAGCCAGUUGGUUUUGAUGGGUUGCCUUUUGGGAAAUUUCUAUCACUGCCCCCCUUUUUUUCUUACUGUUUUAUUACAAACUUACAAAAAAAAAAACCCAUGUAUAACCCUGUUUUAUACAAACUAGUUUCGUAAUAAAACUUUUUUCUUUUUUU